AUGCAUGUCUAAGUACAAGCCUCAUUAAGGUGAAACCGCGAAUGGCUCAUUAAAUCACACCUAAUAUACUGGAUAUUCUCAGUUACUUGGAUAACUGCGGUAAUUCUGGAGCUAAUACAUGCGAAAAAAUCCCGUCAGGGAUGCUUUUAUUAGACCAAAACCAAACGGCUUCGGCUGUAUAACUUGGUGACUCUGAAUAACAUUUGCAGAUCGCAUGGCUUAACGCCGGCGACGUAUCCUUCUAAGGUGUGCCCUAUCAACUGUCGACUGUGGCAUAGACGCCCACAGUGGUUUUGACGGGUAACGGGGAAUCAGGGUUCGAUUCCGGAGAGGGAGCCUGAGAAACGGCUACCACUUCUAAGGAAGGCAGCAGGCACGCAAAUUACCCAAUGAUCGAAGAUCGAGGUAGUGACGAAAAAUAACGAAGCCGGACUCAUCCGAGGCCCGGUUAUCGGAAUGAGUACACUUUAAAUCCUUUAACGAGGAACAAUUGGAGGGCAAGUCUGGUGCCAGCAGCCGCGGUAAUUCCAGCUCCAAUAGCGUAUAUUAAAGUUGUUGCGGUCAAAAAGCUCGUAGUUGGAUUUCGGUGAGCAAGGAGGGGUUCAUCUUGUUUGAUGUAACUGCUAUCUUGUCUCGCGAUUUUUCGGCAGAGGUUUCAAUGGUGUCCUUAAACGGAUGUCUUGGGAUACUGUCGGGUUUACUUUGAAAAAAUUAGAGUGCUCAAAGCAGGCUGUUAAAAGCUUGAAUAUUCGUGCAUGGAAUAAUAAAAUAGGAAGUCGUUUCUAUUUUUGUUGGUUUUCGGAAAUCGACUUAAUGAUUAAUAGGGACAGUCGGGGGCAUUAGUAUU
rnacentral:rRNA from 1 species